AUGCCGGAGCCUGACGACGAGGGGGCGGGGCAGCAGCAGCCAAAGGCGGGGCCCGCGCUCGAGGGCCUCGUGGUGGGGAGCUACUGCCACGACGUGCUCCUCCAGGGCGGCCGCGUCGUGGGCGAGACGCUCGGCGGGGCGGCGGCCUUCGUCUCCACCGUGCUCGACGCCGCCUCGCCCCCGGAGGCCUCCUUCUCCGUCGUGUCCAAGGUCGGGCCCGACUUCGCCUACGCCUCCGCGCCGGCGCCCGCGCGGCACCCCCCGCUGCUCUGCCCCGCGCGGCCCACCACCUCCUUCCACGCCCGGUUCUCCGACGCCGCCGCGUCCGCGCACGCGCCCGACAGGCAGCUCAGGCGCGUCCACGCCUGCGAUCCGAUCUACCCCGAUGACCUCCCCGACCGCCGCUUCGCCUACGGCCUCGCCGUCGGCGUCGCCGGGGAGGUGCUGCCGGAGACGCUCGAGCGGAUGAUUCGGCUCUGCCGCGCGGUGCUCGUGGACGCGCAGGCGCUGAUCCGGGCCUUCGGCGCCGAGGGCGACGGCAGCGGCGCUGCCGUCCGCCACGUGGCGCUGGAGGGCACGCCGUACGCGCGGCUUCUGCAGCGGGUGGCGUUCCUCAAGGCGUCGUCGGAGGAGGCGCCGUACGUGGGGGUGGAGACGGCGAGACGGCGCUGCUGCGUGAUCGUGACGGAGGGGAGGGACGGGUGCCGGCUUUAUUGGGACGGCGGGGAGGCACGCGUGGCGCCGUUCCCCGCCGUCCAGGUGGAUCCUACAGGUGCCGGAGACAGCUAUCUCGCCGGUUUCGCGGCCGGUCUGCUUUGGGGGCUCUCAGCUACGGACGCCGCGCUGCUUGGUAACUUCUUCGGCGCAGCUGCUGUCUCCCAAGUCGGCGUUCCCACCUUCCAUCCCAAGAUGUUGCAGGCUGUCAAACGGAUACUCGAGGACAAGGCGAUACCAUGGUCUAGUCCAUGUAUAAACGGCACCACCUUCACCUUCCAGAGAUCGAUUAUGCACGAUGAGCUACACGCGUCCCUGGAAGAAGCGGCGAGGCUGAUGCGCGAGCAGUCACCACCAGCAACUGAGAAUGGUGAUGGUAUUCUCUCGGCACAAGAGCCGACUUCACCGCCAAGUGGAUGCUGA
rnacentral:rRNA from 1 species